GAUGAACGCUGGCGGCGUGCCUAAUACAUGCAAGUCGAGCGAACGGACGAGAAGCUUGCUUCUCUGAUGUUAGCGGCGGACGGGUGAGUAACACGUGGAUAACCUACCUAUAAGACUGGGAUAACUUCGGGAAACCGUAGCUAAUACCGGAUAAUAUUUUGAACCGCAUGGUUCAAAAGUGAAAGACGGUCUUGCUGUCACUUAUAGAUGGAUCCGCGCUGCAUUAGCUAGUUGGUAAGGUAACGGCUUACCAAGGCAACGAUGCAUAGCCGACCUGAGAGGGGGAUCGGCCACACUGGAACGGAACCCCGGCCCGAACCCCUACGGGGGGCAGCAGGAGGGAAUCUUCCGCAAUGGGCGAAAGCCUGACGGAGCAACGCCGCGUGGGUGAUGAAGGUCUUCGGAUCGUAAAACUCUGUUAUUAGGGAAAAAAAUAUGUGUAAGUAACUGUGCACAUCUUGACGGUACCUAAGCAGAAAGCCACGGCUAACUACGU
rnacentral:rRNA from 1 species